rnacentral:rRNA from 1 species
CACGUAGGGCGCAAGCGUUGUCCGGAAUUAUUGGGCGUAAAGAGCUCGUAGGCGGUCUGUUGCGUCCGCUGUGAAAACUCGGGGCUUAACCCCGAGCCUGCAGUGGAUACGGGCAGACUAGAGGUAGGUAGGGGAGACUGGAAUUCCUGGUGUAGCGGUGGAAUGCGCAGAUAUCAGGAGGAACACCGGUGGCGAAGGCGGCGACCUGGUCCUUGACUGACGCUGAGGCGCGAAAGCGUGGGGAGCGAACAGG